GAUCAUGGCUCAGGACGAACGCUGGCGGCGUGCUUAACACAUGCAAGUCGAACGAGAAUCUACUGAAAGAGUUUUCGGACGAUGGAAGUAGAGGAAAGUGGCGGACGGGUGAGUAACGCGUGAGGAACCUGCCUUGAAGAGGGGGGACAACAGUUGGAAACGACUGCUAAUACCGCAUGAAGCAUAGGGGUCGCAUGAUUCUUAUGCCAAAGAUUUAUCGCUUCAAGAUGGCCUCGCG
rnacentral:rRNA from 1 species